rfam:Ornithorhynchus anatinus chromosome 7, whole genome shotgun sequence.
AGCAGCGUGGCUCAGUGGAAAGAGCAUGGGCUUGGGAGUCAGAGGUCAUGGGUUCAAAUCCCGGUUCUGCUA